AGUCUGAAACUCAAAGGAAUUGGCGGGGGCCCGCACAAGCGGUGGAUUAUGUGGUUUAAUUCGAUGAUACGCGAGGAACCUUACCAAGGCUUAAAUGGGAAUUGAUCGGUUUAGAAAUAGACCUUCCUUCGGGCAAUUUUCAAGGUGCUGCAUGGUUGUCGUCAGCUCGUGCCGUGAGGUGUUAGGUUAAGUCCUGCAACGAGCGCAACCCCUGUCACUAGUUGCCAUCAUUCAGUUGGGGACUCUAGUGAGACUGCCUACGCAAGUAGAGAGGAAGGUGGGGAUGACGUCAAAUCAUCACGGCCCUUACGCCUUGGGCCACACACGUAAUACAAUGGCCGGUACAGAGGGCAGCUACACAGCGAUGUGAUGCAAAUCUCGAAAGCCGGUCUCAGUUCGGAUUGGAGUCUGCAGCUCGACUCUCUGAAGCUGGAAUCGCUAGUAAUCGCGCAUCAGCCAUGGCGCGGUGAGUACGUUCCCGGGCCUUGUACACACCGCCCGUCAAGCCAUGGAAGUCUGGGGUACCUGAAGUCGGUGACCGUAAAGGGAGCUGCCUAGGGUAAAACAGGUAACUAGGGCUAAGUCGUAACA
rnacentral:rRNA from 1 species